rnacentral:rRNA from 1 species
UACGGAGGGUGCGAGCGUUGUCCGGAAUCACUGGGCGUAAAGGGCGCGUAGGCGGCGCGGCAAGUCUGUGGUGAAAGCCCGAGGCUCAACUUCGGGUCGGCCAUGGAUACUGCUGCGCUCGAGCACUGUAGAGGCAGGUGGAAUUCCGGGUGUAGCGGUGGAAUGCGUAGAGAUCCGGAAGAACACCGGUGGCGAAGGCGGUCUGCUGGGCAGUAGCUGACGCUGAGGCGCGACAGCGUGGGGAGCGAACAGG